rnacentral:rRNA from 1 species
CCCUUAGAUGUUCUGGGCCGCACGCGUGCUACACUGAUGCAUUCAACGAGUCUAAAACCUGGUCUGAUAGGGCUGGGUAAUCUUUUGAAAGUGCAUCGUGAUCGGGAUAGAUGAUUGCAAUUCUUCAUCUUCAACGAGGAAUGCCUAGUAAACGCAAGUCAUCAGCUUGCAUUGAUUACGUCCCUGCCCUUUGUACACACCGCCCGUCGCUCCUACCGAUUGAAUGAUCCGGUGAAUAAUUCGGACUGCAGCAGUGCUUGGUCCUCCGGGCUUUGCAGUGGAAAGUUUAGUGAACCUUAUCACUUAGAGGAAGGAGAAGUCGUAACA